AAAAGCUCGUAGUUGGAUCUCAGGCAUGGGCGCACGGUCCGCCUCGCGGCGGUCACUGUGUGUAGUUUUCCCAUCCUAGGCUUCCCGGUUGUUUAGCCCAUGGUGCUCUUGAUUGAGCGUUUUGGGUGGCCGGAACGUUUACUUUGAAGAAAUUAGAGUGUUCAAAGCAGGCGCGUCGCCUGGAUAAUGGUGCAUGGAAUAAUGGAAUAGGACCUCGGUUCUAUUUUGCUGGUUUUCGGAACACGAGGUAAUGAUUAAGAGGGACAGACGGGGGCAUCCGUAUUGCGGUGUUAGAGGUGAAAUUCUUGGAUCAUCGCAAGACGAACGACUGCGAAAGCAUUUGCCAAGCAUGUUUUCAUUAGUCAAGAACGAAAGUCAGAGGUUCGAAGACGAUCAGAUACCGUCGUAGUUCUGACCAUAAACGAUGCCAACUAGCGAUCCGCUGGUGUUGCUUCAUCGACUCUGCGGGCAGCUUCCGGGAAACCAAAGUUUUCGGGUUCCGGGGGAAGUAUGGUUGCAAAGCUGAAACU
rnacentral:rRNA from 1 species